rnacentral:lncRNA from 1 species
GUGGGUUGUAUGUUAGUUUAGUCUGGGGUUCCGGGUUCGGGUCAAUAGGUGUGUUUUCAGGGAAUUAAUUUUUUUUAGCUUUGUUUUGUUUUAAAAGGUUAGAUAUUUAUUUUUAUUUGUUUUAUUUUAUUUGUAUUUUUGUUGGAAAAAAAGAAAGAAGAGAGAGAAACAAAAAGUUUUCACGUAGCGGUUUUCUAAAUUUUCUCUGCUCGUUCUUUUUUUCUUUGCUCUCCCUCUCCUCUCUUGAAUUUCCUUUUUGUGUCGUUGCGGUUUCUUCGUCUUCAAUCAUUUGGAGCUCUAGAGGGAGAU